rnacentral:rRNA from 1 species
AGCGAACGCUGGCGGCAGGCUUAACACAUGCAAGUCGAACGGGCACUUCGGUGUCAGUGGCAGACGGGUGAGUAACGCGUGGGAACAUACCUCUUGGUUCGGAACAACACAGGGAAACUUGUGCUAAUACCGGAUAAGCCCUUACGGGGAAAGAUUUAUCGCCGAGAGAUUGGCCCGCGUCUGAUUAGCUAGUUGGUGUGGUAAAAGCGCACCAAGGCGACGAUCAGUAGCUGGCUGAGAGGAUGAUCAGCCACAUUGGGACUGAGACACGGCCCAAACUCCUACGGGAGGCAGCAGUGGGGAAUAUUGGACAAUGGGCGCAAGCCUGAUCCAGCCAUGCCGCGUGAGUGAUGAAGGCCCUAGGGUUGUAAAGCUCUUUUGUACGGGAAGAUAAUGACGGUACCGUAAGAAUAAGCCCCGGCUAACUUCGUGCCAGCAGCAGCCG